rnacentral:rRNA from 1 species
AACGUAGGAGGCGAGCGUUAUCCGGAGUUACUGGGCGUAAAGCGCGUGUAGGUGGUUGGAUACGUCUGCUGUGAAAUGUCCCGGCUUAACCGGGAGGGUGCGGCAGAUACGGUCUGACUUGAGGGUGACAGAGGAGCGUAGAAUUCCGGGUGUAGUGGUGAAAUGCGUAGAGAUCCGGAGGAACACCAGAGGCGAAGGCGGCCUACUGGGCGUGCACCUGACGCUGAGCCGCGAAAGCCAGGGGAGCGAACGGG